CCAGUAAAUAUAUAUGGUACUUUAAUAAAUAAACACGUUACAAUUAUAUCAGGCAGUGUAUCAAUUAGUGACAUGGUGAAUAUCACUGUUACUGUAACUGUAUGUACUCAGUAUGGUUGUACAGUUUCUGUUCACUAUGUGAGAAUUGUAUCAGAAGAUCAAAGGACAAAAUCAUUGGAUUCAACAAAGGAGGACGAACCCUCACCUGAAAUCAACAUAGGGCUGAUUAGUGGAGUGAUUGUAUCUAUAGUAUUAAUAUUACUUGUCGGUUUUAUUAUCUUCAUGGUGGUCAGAAAAAAACGACAGCCUAAUCAAGAAAAUUUGACGUACAGUGGAUUAGAGAUUGGUCCUGAGAUUGGUAGGUUAGAAUCAACCUAUGACGAUUUAAGAACCUAUGUUUACGUAAGAUCUCCUCCUAAUGACCAAGGUGUAGCUAACACUUCAAGUCACGGCCCUCCUGUCCCGGAAGCAGCUAAUACUUCAAAUGACCACCUCCCUGUCUCACGCGAAGUCCUCAACAACUCAACUUAUGACGGUCUUCGGACAACCAAUGAUGUGAGAAUUUACGACACUCUGAACCCUGCUGAAAAAACAUACGAAAACAUACAGGACUCAAAUGAAAUGUAGUAUUUCGUAGUUGGAGCCCAUUUACGAAGCCUGUAUAAAAUUGUAAAUAACAUACAAGUUAGGUAUCCGGAGUUUAAACUGAAGAUGACUUAACUACCAAAUUUAGAUGUUCCCAUACCAGUGUUUUAUUUUUAAUCUAAAGAAUUCAAUUAUUAACGUGUUUUAUACGUGUUUUAACGCUUUAAGGAGA